UGUCUCUAUCCUUUUCUCCUCCCACACUCCUUUCUUCUCCCCGAUGCCUGCAAUGGCGAGCUGCUCGUCGUGCACAGCCGCCGCACCACGCCCGAGCUCCCGUCGAUUCGCCUCCAAGCCAUGCAGCAGCGGAGCAGCCGACGCCUUCCUCUCGCCAAGAUCUGGUCGUCCCCGCACCACCGUACGCCAAAGCACUGCUGCCGCUCGCGGGGAUGGCUCACACGGGUGCUCGGCGCCGUACUCUGCACUUCCGGCGGCCAGGACGGCUCUGCUCCGCGCGCGGCAGGCAGCAUCCGCUCUAGGGCGCGUUGACCGUCGGCGUUGUGGUGCCAGCCCCCGCCGCAUACCAUGCCCUCGGUCAUGUUCCUACUCUAUAGCAGUACCAGCAAGACGAGCAAGCCGGAUGCAUCGCCGCCGCGCCCAUAGCUUGUUCCUCGUCGCGUCCGCCGUGACCCGUGAGUUCUGCCAGAUCGAUUAGGAAAGCGUUUUCAAGGUGAGCCAUGCUUCAAUCCUUAUGUCAUUCUCUGUCAAUGCUCCACAAUUCAUCCCGUGCCUGAAUGCCUGAAUUUACCAACAACCGAAGCAUGAAUGCCUGAAAUUACCAACGUACUAUUUGUUGUCUCUAAAAAUCAUGUCAAUAAUGAUUCACAACACUUAUAGUUUCUGUAUUUUACAGAUUUAAUGCAAGCGUUGGCAUUGAUUAUAGAUUCCCUUUUUUCUGAAUAUUAAGAACAUUCACAACUUGUGACAUGCCCUUUUGUUUGGUUUUUGCAAUAUUGUUAACACUGUGCGAUCCCUUUUUCAAAAUUACUGCAAUUUUUGCCAUGAUGUUUAUAUAUACUUGCCAUGGCAGAAAAUUCAGUUAGCAUGCAUUUUCUGGGAGAAGUUGUACCUUCAAUCUAUGUACUGUCCAAUUUAGAUGUGGGCAGUAGGCCAGUUUUCUUUCUUUUUGCUGAAGAUGAUAUGUGAUAGUAAAUGGGGGCAAUGGCAAAUUUUAGUAAAGUUUUGUUCAAGUCCAUGGCAAUUUUCUCAACAAAUGUGUUCUUUCAUCAUGGCAAUUUUGCAGACUCUUGUUUCUUUUUGUAGUUGUGACAUGGCAAGUGCUUGUAGUUCCCCCUAUGUCUCAUGGCAAAGUAUUACCAUGCUUUUACCCAACACAAUGGCAAACUUUAAUUUGCCAUGAUCACAAGACAAUUAAAGAAACUGGCAUGUCUCCACUUUUUGCCAUGGCAAAUGUAGUUUUCUAUUAAGCAUGGCAAUUUAAGUUCAUGGCUGAAAAGUGAGGCAGAGAUGAGAUGGAUUUUUUAGUUUGGUCACAAUUUGUUGGUGGAGUAGAUGCAUCACAGAUUCACAGUGUAGUUUUCUUCAUGGUGUUUUUGAUGGGUUUUUUCCUCUGAUCUAAACAUGUAUAUGGGAAGUAGUUGUGUUGUUCCCUGGAUGGUUGUCCAUUGCUUUUAAUUUGUCUAUAAUGUGAUAUUGCCAUGGCAACUCUUUAAUAUGUCUUGCUAUGGGGUAGCUCAAGAUCGAGUUUUUCCAUGCAAAACUUUAAGAUGUGUUUUUUUUUCUGCCAUUAUUUGCAAACUUAAGAUGUAUUGACAUGGAAAACUUAAUCUGAGUCUUUUUUCCAUGGCCACUGUACAGGCAUAUUUACAAGCAUUCUUUGAGGGAAAUCACAUUUUUUUUUCUAGAUGGCAUGGCAAGUUUUUUAGGACACGAUAAAUCAUUUUGUGCCAUAAAUUAGCCAUGGUAAAUUUAGUUUCUGGAUCACGGUAAAUUUUAUAAUUAGCCAUGGCAAAUUUAGUUUGUAGAUCAUGGCAAGUUUUACCAUGGCAAUUUUUUAACUGAUUUUGCCAUGGCAAAUUCACUAGAUGUCCCACCGCAAAUUCAGUUUAAUUCAAUUUAAUGCCCAUGGCAAGUUUCUUUUUUCAAGACGAUGUCAACUUUAUUUUUACCAUGGCCAUUUUAAAAGUGAUUUUUGGCAUGGCAAUUUCACUAGAUGCCCCACGGCUAAUUUAGUUCAAUGCCCACGGCAAGUUUCUUUCUCAAGACAAUGUCAAUUUUGCCAUGGCAAAUUCACUAGAUGUCCCACAACAAAUUUAGUUUAAUGCCCAUGACAAGAUUCUUUUUUCAAGACGAUGUCAACUUUUUUUACCCUGGCAAAUUCAUUAGAUGUCCUAUGGAAAAUUCAAUUUAAUACCUAUGUCAAGUUUCUUUUUUCAAGACGAUGUCUACUUUUUUUCGACGGCAAUUUUUAAAGUAAUUUGUCAUGGCAAAUUCACAAGAUGUCCCACAACAAAUUUAGUUUAAUGCCCAUGGCAAGUUUCUUUUUUCAAGACGAUGCCAACUUUUUUACCAUGGCAAUUGUUAAACUGAUUUUGCCACGGCAAAUUCAGUUUAAUGCCCAUGGCAAGUUUCUUUUUUCAAGACGAUGUCAACUUUGCCAUGGAAAAUUCACUAGAUGUCCCAUGGCAAAUUCAGUUUAAUGCCCAUGGCAAGUUUCUUUUUCAAGACGAUGUCAACUUUUUUUACCAUGCCAAAUUCACUAGAUGUCCCACCGCAAAUUCAGUUUAAUGCCCAUGGCAAGAUACUUUUUUUCAAGACGAUGUGAGAAAGAAUACAAUUUUAACUAAGGAAUCUCAUUGUUGCAUUCUUAUUCAUCCAUAAUUUCUUGGUGUUAUAUUAUAUGGGCAAUUAUUUCUGCACACUACAUGGAAAAAUACUUAGUGCAUAUGGUCUUUUUCUUAAUUUUCGUUUUUUGUAAACAUAGUAGGUUUUAGGCAUUUUCGUGUUUGUUUUAUUUUUCUGUAAACAAAUAUCCUUUUUGGCCAUGGCAAAUUUUGCUUUGUUAAAGACGGAUGGCAAUUUCUAGUUUGCAUCACUGGGAUUUUUUAGUUCUUAAUUUUCUUCUUUUAAUGGCAAUUUUUUCAUAACAUGGCAAAAUCUGGGCUUUAUUUUUCACAGAUCAAAAAAUGUUUUUUAUUCACAGUACCAACUGGGCCAUACUGGACAUUUUUUUUGUCUUUUCAGUCACCAGGCCGGCUUGUACAGAUAUUCUAGAUUGUUCACGCUGGGUGGGGAGCGCGUUCGGGCUGAGGUUCCUCUCAUCUGGAACGAACUUGUUAGGUCGAUGCCCACCCGGCACCGAACGAAUCGUUCGAUCUGGGGAGCCACCAGGCUGAACGUCCGGCCGUUAUCGACGUCCUUUUAAAUAGUGCAACCAAAAUUUGCCGCUGUUCAUCACAUUAUUCUGCCGGGGAGUAUGCUCGUUUUCCAAAAAAAAAGUGUCUGUAAUUUUGCAUGUGUGAAUACUAGCGACCGACAUCCUGUUGGUGACAGUUUAGUUUCAUUGUGACAGUGUAGCUAUGAAGAUUGGGAUUCUUACUGCCUCACAUAUCAUAGGUACCAGGGGAUCUAGAUUACGUCCGGUACUAUGACGAGAUGUCAAAGGAAAUAAAGAUAGGCAUGAUGUGAUCAAUAUUGAACCAAAACUGCUAAUUAUGUAGCAUAUUGGUGUAAUGAUUUUCUUACCAUGUGACAGUGGAAUUGCGAUAAACUGGGACUUGAUAAGAAGAAUUGGUGGAGAUACGAGAGUACGGCUUUUCUGGAAGCAAUGAAGAUUGGAUCAGGGUUCAGUAAUCAUCUAUUCAGACAUUCAGUUAUGGGCACCAACUUAAUGGGCUAUGCCCCUCCCUAACCUAUAAAGUUACUUGUUCAGCGUAUGUGGUGAUGGUGUUUGAUGACUAUUUUAUUACUUCCAUUUAGGAUUAUAUAUAUGGCCUUAACUACGAUUCUAUUACCCGUAAGGACCUCGACCAUCUCUAUCUCGAGAUUUGGAAGAGGGUUGCUAAGCAAAAGAUGGAUUUCAAUGAUGCUUUGGGGGAGAUUUAUCAACAAGACAUGUUCCCCUUGCUCAUGGGUCAGAUUAAAUUGGAACUUGUAAAACAUCCACCUUCUUCCCUUGGGUGGAUGAAAAAUAAAUAUGACACCUAUAUGGCUUGCAUUGACGAACAGAUUUACCGAUAAAGGUUUUCGCCCCGCUUUAUAGAUAAAGCAAAGCGCCACGAGCAAUACAAAGUUCACAAUGCUUAUAAAUAGAUUUCAGAAGAGGAGUGUGAUCCCUUGAUCAAUGGGGAAAUGGAAAGAAUGUUUCCAGAACAAAAGUCAUAUUUCGAUUACACCAAAAAAAAAAGGAAGUUGCGGAACGCAUUGGUUUGAUCCCCAAGGAUGCCCAAGGCAAAGUCUGCAGUAUAGCAAACUAAAGGAAAGCAAUGAUGCAGUUUGAAGAAAUUUGCUCUUGGUGCACGCAGUCACACAUACAUACACUUAUGCAUAUCGCAAUGACCUGAAUAACAAGCAGGACACCGGUGAUUUUCCCAAGGCAGAAGAGCAACUUUUCGUGUCUUGAUUGAUGUUCUCCAGAUCAGUGAACCUCAGUUUCAAAAUCACGCAUACCAGUAAAUAGAGAUGAAACACUGAUUAGACCGUGGUGAACCAAAUGGUAAUUGUAACUUGAGCGGAGCACAUUGUAUUUAAGAGACAUGGGAGCGCUUCUCAGGUGAAGAACUACGGGUCCUGGUUCUAA